CUUGCUUCUUCUGAUCAGUGGCGAACGGGUGAGUAACACGUGAGUAACCUGCCCCAAACUCUGGGAUAAGCACUGGAAACGGUGUCUAAUACCGGAUAUGAGCUUCAGCCGCAUGGCUAGGAGUUGGAAAGAAUUUCGGUUUGGGAUGGACUCGCGGCCUAUCAGCUAGUUGGUGAGGUAAUGGCUCACCAAGGCGACGACGGGUAGCCGGCCUGAGAGGGUGACCGGCCACACUGGGACUGAGACACGGCCCAGACUCCUACGGGAGGCAGCAGUGGGGAAUAUUGCACAAUGGGCGCAAGCCUGAUGCAGCAACGCCGCGUGAGGGACGACGGCCUUCGGGUUGUAAACCUCUUUUAGUAGGGAAGAAGCGUAAUAGUGACGGUACCUGCAGAAAAAGCACCGGCUAACUACGUGCCAGCAGCCGCGGUAAUACGUAGGGUGCAAGCGUUGUCCGGAAUUAUUGGGCGUAAAGAGCUCGUAGGCGGUUUGUCGCGUCUGCUGUGAAAACCCGAGGCUCAACCUCGGGCCUGCAGUGGGUACGGGCAGACUAGAGUGCGGUAGGGGAGAUUGGAAUUCCUGGUGUAGCGGUGGAAUGCGCAGAUAUCAGGAGGAACACCAAUGGCGAAGGCAGAUCUCUGGGCCGUAACUGACGCUGAGGAGCGAAAGCAUGGGGAGCGAACAGGAUUAGAUACCCUGGUAGUCCAUGCCGUAAACGUUGGGAACUAGAUGUGGGGACCAUUCCACGGUCUCCGUGUCGCAGCUAACGCAUUAAGUUCCCCGCCUGGGGAGUACGGCCGCAAGGCUAAAACUCAAAGGAAUUGACGGGGGCCCGCACAAGCGGCGGAGCAUGCGGAUUAAUUCGAUGCAACGCGAAGAACCUUACCAAGGCUUGACAUAUAGAGGAAACGGUUGGAAACAGUCGCCCCGCAAGGUCUCUAUACAGGUGGUGCAUGGUUGUCGUCAGCUCGUGUCGUGAGAUGUUGGGUUAAGUCCCGCAACGAGCGCAACCCUCGUCCUAUGUUGCCAGCACGUAAUGGUGGGAACUCAUGGGAUACUGCCGGGGUCAACUCG
rnacentral:rRNA from 1 species